UUGCAGCUUAUUAAGCCGACCAGUUCUACUCCAGUGUGUUACUGGUGUGCAAAAGCUGCAGACAGUGACUCUUUGGUUGUGUAUGUCCUCAGCUGGGAGGUGCUGAGUGCUUUAAGGGACCACUGAGACAAAU
ensembl:snoRNA SNORA70 Small nucleolar RNA SNORA70